UGCUGUGAACUCGAAGAGUAGGGCGGGACACGUGGUAUCCUGUCUGAAUAUGGGGGGACCAUCCUCCAAGGCUAAAUACUCCUGACUGACCGAUAGUGAACCAGUACCGUGAGGGAAAGGCGAAAAGAACCCCGGCGAGGGGAGUGAAAAAGAACCUGAAACCGUGUACGUACAAGCAGUGGGAGCCUCUUUAUGGGGUGACUGCGUACCUUUUGUAUAAUGGGUCAGCGACUUAUAUUCUGUAGCAAGGUUAACCGUAUAGGGGAGCCGAAGGGAAACCGAGUCUUAACUGGGCGUUAAGUUGCAGGGUAUAGACCCGAAACCCGGUGAUCUAGCCAUGGGCAGGUUGAAGGUUGGGUAACACUAACUGGAGGACCGAACCGACUAAUGUUGAAAAAUUAGCGGAUGACCUGUGGCUGGGGGUGAAAGGCCAAUCAAACCGGGAGAUAGCUGGUUCUCCCCGAAAGCUAUUUAGGUAGCGCCUCGUGAACUCAUCUUCGGGGGUAGAGCACUGUUUCGGCUAGGGGGCCAUCCCGGCUUACCAACCCGAUGCAAACUACGAAUACCGAAGAAUGUUAUCACGGGAGACACACGGCGGGUGCUAACGUCCGUCGUGAAGAGGGAAACAACCCAGACCGCCAGCUAAGGUCCCAAAGUCAUGGUUAAGUGGGAAACGAUGUGGGAAGGCACAGACAGCCAGGAUGUUGGCUUAGAAGCAGCCAUCAUUUAAAGAAAGCGUAAUAGCUCACUGGUCGAGUCGGCCUGCGCGGAAGAUGUAACGGGGCUAAACCAUGCACCGAAGCUGCGGCAGCGACACUAUGUGUUGUUGGGUAGGGGAGCGUUCUGUAAGCCGUUGAAGGUGGCCUGUGAGGGUUGCUGGAGGUAUCAGAAGUGCGAAUGCUGACAUAAGUAACGAUAAAGCGGGUGAAAAGCCCGCUCGCCGGAAGACCAAGGGUUCCUGUCCAACGUUAAUCGGGGCAGGGUGAGUCGACCCCUAAGGCGAGGCCGAAAGGCGUAGUCGAUGGGAAACAGGUUAAUAUUCCUGUACUUGGUGUUACUGCGAAGGGGGGACGGAGAAGGCUAUGUCAGCCGGGCGACGGUUGUCCCGGUUUAAGCAUGUAGGCGGAGGUUCCAGGUAAAUCCGGUACCUUAUUAACGCUGAGGUGUGAUGACGAGGCACUACGGUGCUGAAGUGAUAAAUGCCCUGCUUCCAGGAAAAGCCUCUAAGCAUCAGGUAACACGAAAUCGUACCCCAAACCGACACAGGUGGUCAGGUAGAGAAUACCAAGGCGCUUGAGAGAACUCGGGUGAAGGAACUAGGCAAAAUGGUGCCGUAACUUCGGGAGAAGGCACGCUGAUGUGUAGGUGAAGCCCCUGCGGGCGGAGCUGAAAUCAGUCGAAGAUACCAGCUGGCUGCAACUGUUUAUUAAAAACACAGCACUGUGCAAACACGAAAGUGGACGUAUACGGUGUGACGCCUGCCCGGUGCCGGAAGGUUAAUUGAUGGGGUUAGCGGCAACGCGAAGCUCUUGAUCGAAGCCCCGGUAAACGGCGGCCGUAACUAUAACGGUCCUAAGGUAGCGAAAUUCCUUGUCGGGUAAGUUCCGACCUGCACGAAUGGCGUAAUGAUGGCCAGGCUGUCUCCACCCGAGACUCAGUGAAAUUGAACUCGCUGUGAAGAUGCAGUGUACCCGCGGCAAGACGGAAAGACCCCGUGAACCUUUACUAUAGCUUGACACUGAACACUGGUCCUUGAUGUGUAGGAUAGGUGGGAGGCUUUGAAGCGUGGACGCCAGUCUGCGUGGAGCCAACCUUGAAAUACCACCCUUUAAUGGCUGGUGUUCUAACGUAGACCCGUAAUCCGGGUUGCGGACAGUGUCUGGUGGGUAGUUUGACUGGGGCGGUCUCCUCCCAAAGAGUAACGGAGGAGCACGAAGGUUGGCUAAUCCUGGUCGGACAUCAGGAGGUUAGUGCAAUGGCAUAAGCCAGCUUGACUGCGAGCGUGACGGCGCGAGCAGGUGCGAAAGCAGGUCAUAGUGAUCCGGUGGUUCUGAAUGGAAGGGCCAUCGCUCAACGGAUAAAAGGUACUCCGGGGAUAACAGGCUGAUACCGCCCAAGAGUUCAUAUCGACGGCGGUGUUUGGCACCUCGAUGUCGGCUCAUCACAUCCUGGGGCUGAAGUAGGUCCCAAGGGUAUGGCUGUUCGCCAUUUAAAGUGGUACGCGAGCUGGGUUUAGAACGUCGUGAGACAGUUCGGUCCCUAUCUGCCGUGGGCGCUGGAGAAUUGAGGGGGGCUGCUCCUAGUACGAGAGGACCGGAGUGGACGCAUCACUGGUGUUCGGGUUGUCAUGCCAAUGGCACUGCCCGGUAGCUAAAUGCGGAAGAGAUAAGUGCUGAAAGCAUCUAAGCACGAAACUUGCCCCGAGAUGAGUUCUCCCUGAGACCUUGAGUCUCCUGAAGGAACGUUGAAGACGACGACGUUGAUAGGUCGGGUGUGUAAGCGCAGCGAUGCGUUGAGCUAACCGAUACUAAUGAACCGUGAGGCUUAACCUUACAACGCCGAAGGUGUUU
rnacentral:rRNA from 1 species